rnacentral:tRNA from 1 species
GGGAAGGUGGCUCAGUGGUAGAGUGCUUGCCUUGCAUGCAUGAGGCCCUGAAUUCACUUCCCCA